CCCAAAGUAAACAUGAGUGUAGGAUCCAUCAUAGUCUGGUUGCUCACAACCUGCACCUGUGUUUCUGUGGGGCAGAUUUUGACUCAAUCUGAGACUCAAACAGUGCAGUCUGAUCAAACUGUCACUAUUCACUGUAAACACACACCAGCGGUGGAUUGUUAUAAAAAAACUAAUACCUCUCAGAAGUGUAUGUCAUGGUACCAUCAGAUUCCUGGAGAAGCUCCUAAACUCCUGAUCUAUUACACAUCAAACAGAGCUUCAGGAGUUUCCUCUAGAUUCAGUGGCAGUGAAAGUGGAAAUCACAUUGACUUUACACUGACCAUCAGUCAAGUCCAGCCUGAAGAUUCAGGAGAUUAUUACUGUCAGAGUCUACACAGUAAAACUGGAGAUAGUGAGAACCCAGACUGGGUGUUCACACAGUAUAAAAGCAUCUUACAAAAACCUCUUGUUGUGGUUAGACUUCACUGCUAUGCGUCACCUCACUGCAGAUGGUGUUUAAAAUCACUUGGCUGA